UCUAAUAAAAUGAUCUGAGGCUAGUCU
rnacentral:piRNA from 1 species